rnacentral:rRNA from 1 species
UGUGGAUUAAUUCGAUGCAACGCGAAAACCUUACCUACCCUUGACAUGUCUGGAGCCUUGGUGAGAGCCGAGGGUGCCUUCGGAGCAGAACACAGGUGCUGCAUGGCUGUCGUCAGCUCGUGUCGUGAGAUGUUGGGUUAAGUCCCGCAACGAGCGCAACCCUUGUCACUAGUUGCCAUCAUUUGGUUGGGCACUCUAGUGAGACUGCCGGUGACAAACCGGAGGAAGUGGGGAUGACGUCAAAUCAUCAUGCCCCUUAUGACCUGGGCUACACACGUGCUACAAUGGUUGGUACAACGAGUUGCGAGUCGGUGACGGCGAGCUAAUCUCUUAAAGCCAAUCUCAGUUCGGAUUGUAGGCUGCAACUCGCCUACAUGAAGUCGGAAUCGCUAGUAAUCGCGGAUCAGCACGCCGCGGUGAAUACGUUCCCGGGCCUU